rnacentral:rRNA from 1 species
AUGGCNNNNNNNNNNNNNNNNNNNAGGGAUUACGCGGCGAGCAUGAGGUGCAAGACAGGGGCGGAGGGGCUGCUUCUCUUGGGAAUCGAGGAUCUCCCGCCUCUCAGGGCGCCGAGGUGCCGGUGGUGGGCGGACGAACUCGCCUCCGCCGUGGCUGCCGCAGCUGGGGCGGCGUCCCCGAGGAGGGCGCCAGGGAAGGCGAAGCCGACGAAGAAGCGGUCCAUCUCCGACCUCUUCGCCGCGGCGCCCCCCUUGGCCGCGCCCCCCGCCGGUGAUGCCGGAUGCAAAGAGCAAACGGAGGUGGACGACGACGAGGCGCUGUGCGCGAUCGCGAGGCGGGCCAAGGAGGAGAAGAAACGGAAGAGAAAGCUGCAAGAAGAGGAGGCGGGGCAGAAGGAGGAGACGGCGGCAGUUGCUGCCGCGCCGGAGAGCAGCGGAGGCCGGGAGCCCAAGGGGAAUUUCGCUGCCAGCAAGGAAGCACUUGAAAGUCCAAACCUGUUUGAUGGACUGGAUACUCACUCAUCACAGAAAACUGAGGCCUCACAACAUCACAGAGAAGAGAGAGAAAAGAUAUCUGAGAGAAGGAAGCAAGGGAAGAUCAAUAAUAUAAAUAAGAAGAAGGCUGGCACACAAAAGCACAUGGACAGCAAUAAAGCCAACAAAGUGGGGAAACCACGAGAUCUGGAAAAUUUUAUCCCUAGGCAUGGCAUUUUAAAGUGCACAAAGCACACAUCAGUGAAAAUGGUCAAGGAGAAACGUGGCAAUUCAGAAGGCAAGGGAGUAAUAGAACUCUGCCGCAAAUCAGUGAAACGUGUCAAAUUCUCAGAAGCAGAUGCUAUACUUGAGCUACCAGAACGACAAAGUCUCUGCAAGAUGUUUUCAGAUGCUAUGGCUUCUUCAUCGUCCUCCUCAUCAUCAUCGUCAUUCACGUCUACCGAAGCAGACAAAUGCAUAUCUGCAGAAAGUGGUAGUUCUCAUAUGCCCAUGGAAGCUUUCACUAAGGCGAAAGAAGCAAAUAAGAAUUCAGAUCAUGAGGAUUCUCCAGACAAAUGCGUAACUGCAGAAAGUGGUACUUCUCAUAUUCCCAUGGAAGCUUUCACUAAGGCGAAAGAAGCAAAUAAGAAUUCAGAUCAUGAGGAUUCUCCAGACAAAUGCAUAACUGCAGAAAGUGGCACUUCUCAUAUUCCCAUGGAAGCUUUCACUAAGACGAAAGAAGGAAAUAAGAAUUCAGAUCACGAGGGUUCUCCUGAGCCUGGUAGCAGAGAGAUGUCAACUCCUUUGAUUGAUUUGAAUAUGGCGUUAUCAGAAUCUACUGAAUCGGACCAAAGUUAUGAUUCAUAUUCAGAGGUGCCAAAUCUGGAGCAUACACAUGAGGAAACUUUAAGUUCUCAUGUCCAAUUGCUUCAUGAGAGAGAAAACCGGAUGAAUUUUUCUGUUGUUUCACACAGACUGGAAAGUGAACAAUCUAGUGCUGACUUGGAAAGAACAACGAAUUCAAGUUCGGCGGGCACAUUUUUGCAUGGUGAGGCGAUAAAAGUUUCUGAUGUAGAUGCUGCUGGUCCUCCAUUGAGCUUAACUGAACUUGCUGAGACUCAUCGUGGUUGCAGUAAUAUUUCAGUAAAAGAUACUAUGACUAUGAGUACGUCCCCUUGUGCAUUGCCAGAUCAUACAUUUCAGGAUUCAUUUGGGCAGCACCAGAGUUGGUUUUCCACCAGCGGCAAAUUUUCUUCCGGGCCAUCUCAUGAAUCUAAUGUGUCACACAGUAAGGAGUUAAAUUUUCGUUCUCAGUUGAACGUGCCGAGUGAGAAUGGACCUUCCACAGGACAGACAGUUCGUUUGAUGGGUAAAGAUCUUCCAGUUUGCACGACCAGAGCUGAAUCGUUUUCCGAGACUGCGCGCAAGCAUACAGGUACUUUCACCAAUGACUACCUGAACGCAAAUGUGUUCUUGCCACAACAAGGACGGCCUUUUCUCUCUUUACAAGCUCAGAAUUUCCCCAAUGAUACAGUAAAUUCUACCAGUAUAACUCAUGCUUCAACAUAUCAUGCAAGCGCAAGUCAGGCACGGACUACACAUGAUUACAGCCACCCUUUCCCUGCAGCUAAUGUACUUUCUGGAGAUCAGUUGCCAUAUGAAAACAGGUUUGUUGAUUUUUCAAACUCGCAGACCAAUCAGCCUUUUUUAUUGGGCUACCAACCUCCUCCCAAUCAUGGCAGUGCAGCAUUCCAACAGAAUUCCCCGUCGCGCCGUUAUUAUUCUGAUCCUAUCACUAGAACUGAACCACCCACAGCACCACCUUUGCCUACAACCAGACAGCAUGGUGCACCAUCUUCAGGUUUCCAUGCCAAUUUGCCUCAGCAACAUGUUGUGCAUUCAGCAAGCUCAUCAUUGGGUUUUACAUUCAACUAUCCAGGCCAGGUAGUUCAAGCAACUUCCAACAGCAUAAGAGAUCUGACCCUUUCGGCCAGAAAUACAGACAACAGAAUGGGGAGCGCUGUUCUUGGCAAUUCCAAUGCUUCGCCUAGUGUUCGCUAUGUGCAGAAGAGAUCAGGCCCAGUGAAGCUCACUCCUGGUGCGAAGCAUGUACUGGUGCCAAGCGAUUGCACAGGUGAUGGCGAUUCUGCGCCUGUGUACUCCUGUGUUUCGUUCAGAAGUAGGAACACAAAUGCUGCAUGUCCUCAGAACAAAGGAGCAUGA